GACGAACGCUGGCGGCGUGCCUAAUACAUGCAAGUCGAGCGCAGGAAACUGACGGAACUCUUCAGAGGGAAGGCAGCGGAAUGAGCGGCGGACGGGUGAGUAACACGUAAGGAACCUGCCUCAAGGAUUGGGAUAACUCCGAGAAAUCGGAGCUAAUACCGGAUAGUUCAUCGGACCGCAUGGUCCGUUGAUGAAAGGCGCUCCGGCGUCACCUUGAGAUGGCCUUGCGGUGCAUUAGCUAGUUGGGGGGGUAACGGCCCACCAAGGCGACGAUGCAUAGCCGACGUGAGAGGGUGAUCGGCCACACUGGGAAUGAGACAAGGCACAGACGCCUACGGGAGGCAGCAGUAGGGAAUCUUCCACAAUGGACGAAAGUCUGAUGGAGCAACGCCGCGUGAGUGAUGAAGGUUUGCGGAUCGUAAAACUCUGUUGUAAGGGAAGAACACGUACGAGAGGGAAUGCUCGUACCUUGACGGUACCUUACGAGAAAGCCACGGCUAACUACGUGCCAGCAGCCGCAGUAA
rnacentral:rRNA from 1 species